UUCUGGGAGUUGAAGUCCGGACAUCUUCAAGUUGCCAAGGUUGAGAAACACUGCCUUAGGCUAAUACAGAUUCUUUACACCAGCAUUCUGUGGAAUCAAAAUAGGGCAUGAAAACAGGGAUGACUUUUAUAUUUCCCAGUCUAUAAUCUUAUAGGAACCAAACAGCUGCCUACCUGCGUUAUCUUUAACUUCUUUAGUUGCCUAAGAUACCCUUCCGAACUUUUGAUUGCUGGAGAUGAUUCAGAAAAUACUUCCAGGUAACCAACGAAGAUGGGGACUUAGCACCUAUUUUAGCAAUGAACUAACCAACAAACCCACUCACUACUUUGAUUUGCUUUUCUCAAGAAAAGCCACUCUCUCUCUCUCUCCAGAAAGGAAUUGAAAACACUCCUAACAUGAGAAUUUUUAAAGCUGGUGCAAAUUGUGAGAGCUUCUACUUCACUUGCCCGCUUGUUCCUUGUGUUCUGUUACCAGUGUAAAUUGAUAUCUAGAUCUCAACCCUACUACAAUCAGCCCCUUGUGGUGAAGUUGCAGAGAUAUUCUGCAGCACUUUUAUGCAGUCCCCUCAAAUACUGCAAAGGAGAAACCACCUCUGCAGAACCUUCACUGCGCAUUCGGGAGAAAGGGGUUUGCAAUGAAAGGGGAGGGGAAAAAAGGCCAGCCUUUGGGAAAGUAAAUCCAACUAUCUCAUUUCUCCAAAUAUCCCAUCAAUGUUUCCUCUGAAUCUGAAAGGAACAAACUAGAGAGAAAUCUCUUCUGCCAGCAGCUGUACAUGGAUACUAGUCCAUGCAGUGCACAUCUGUCUUGGGGUGCUGCGCCUUGGUGCAAUAAUUGUGCAAAUGCAUCACUAUUUGUGUCUCUGGGAAGCGUCAAAAUAAUGCAGAGGAGGAUUUAUCAAAAUGAUUCUCGCUCGGAAGCAGGCCACCCAGUUCAGUUGCUGAUGGCUACAGAGAGGUUUGCAAAAGGGCCUCCCCCCAAAUGAUGGAGAAUGGUUGCCCCUUAGCAUAAAUGGAUUUGAGUUAGAUGGAUCAGCAGUCACAGUUUUUGAAAAAGCAACUUCCUAAGAUCCUAUAUGUUGGCUAACAGUCAUGGUAAACCACUCAACUUCAUUGCUUGGUAUAUAUUUAGAAUUUUUUUUAAAAAAAAACCCAACCCUACAAAUCCAAGGAUGAUUCCCAACAAGACCAAUAAAAUAAAAUAAAAUAAAAUAAAAAUCAAUCUGAAGAGAAAAGUAGCAAAGGAGACUUCAGAGGAAUUUUCUUGUAAAAUUACUACAUCUGGAAAUUAGCGUUUCCAAAGUCAAGGGGGAAAAAUGGAGAACUUAAAAAGAGCCAAUACCGUAGCCUUUUUUCUGACAACGAAGAAAGGUAUCAAAAUCACUGGGAAUGUAGAAACAGCAAAGUCAAAUGCUGCCUCUUGUCUAAGGGCUGUGUAAC